GGGCUUUGAGGUGGUAGAUUCCGUACCGACCACACGCCGACGGUAUUGACAGGGGCAACCCGAGAGAUGCAGGAGAAUGGUACGCCUGCCAAAGUCC
rnacentral:ncRNA from 1 species